AUUGAACGCUGGCGGAAUGCUUUACACAUGCAAGUCGAACGGCAGCACGGGGCAACCUGGUGGCGAGUGGCGAACGGGUGAGUAAUACAUCGGAACGUGCCCAGUCGUGGGGGAUAACGUAGCGAAAGCUACGCUAAUACCGCAUACGAUCUACGGAUGAAAGCGGGGGACUCGCAAGAGCCUCGCGCGAUUGGAGCGGCCGAUGGCAGAUUAGGUAGUUGGUGGGGUAAAGGCUCACCAAGCCUGCGAUCUGUAGCUGGUCUGAGAGGACGACCGGCCACACUGGAACUGAGACACGGUCCAGACUCCUACGGGAGGCAGCAGUGGGGAAUUUUGGACAAUGGGCGCAAGCCUGAUCCAGCCAUUCCGCGUGCAGGAUGAAGGCCUCGGUUGUAAC
rnacentral:rRNA from 1 species